rnacentral:tRNA from 1 species
UGGGGAAUAGCUCAGUGGUAGAGCACAUGCUUAGCAUGCACGAGGUCCUAGGUUCAAUCCCCAGUACCUUCA